CAUUUGUUUUAGGAUGAAGGGGGUACGACCAGAAACCCAACAUGCUGUAAAGAAUCAAUCUGACACGACAAGGCGCGACGUUAAUGGAGAAAACAACCUUGUAGCACUAUCCAGAGAAAUAUCCGCCAAUAUGAAAGAGUUGCCUUCUCCUCGUACUUGGAUCACGAUGUUCAAAACCCAGGGAUAGACCAGCCUAUUGUUUACAACAAAAUUGUGUUAAACGAAGGUUCAGCCUACAACGAACACAGCGGAAUUUUUACCUGUCCCAUGGAUGGUAUCUAUGGGUUUUAUUUUUCCAUAGCAACCUUUAAUAUAAACCAGAUUGUUGCUAAGCUCGUUGUCAACGCAGUUAAUGAGGUCGAUGGCGUUGCUGAUACCUUUCACACAGGCCAAGAGGCACAAGGUAGCAAUUUCGUCCUCGUGUCACUAACGAAAGGUCAACAAGUAUGGGUAUCUAACUACAGAUGGGCAACUCAUGUAAUGCAUGAAACAGAUGGCUACAGAUUUUCCUCUUUUUCAGGAUUCUUAUUAUAUUGAUUGAAGUUAAAGAGAUGAAUUUCAAAAUCAUAUUUGUUU